UACGAAGGGGGCUAGCGUUGCUCGGAAUCACUGGGCGUAAAGCGCACGUAGGCGGACUCUUAAGUCAGGGGUGAAAUCCUGGAGCUCAACUCCAGAACUGCCUUUGAUACUGAAGAUCUUGAGUUCGGGAGAGGUGAGUGGAACUGCGAGUGUAGAGGUGAAAUUCGUAGAUAUUCGCAAGAACACCAGUGGCGAAGGCGGCUCACUGGCCCGAUACUGACGCUGAGGCACGAAAGCGUGGGGAGCAAACGGG
rnacentral:rRNA from 1 species